UGGGGAAUAUUGCACAAUGGGGGAAACCCUGAUGCAGCGACGCCGCGUGAGUGAAGAAGUAUUUCGGUAUGUAAAGCUCUAUCAGCAGGGAAGAAAAUGACGGUACCUGACUAAGAAGCCCCGGCUAACUACGUGCCAGCAGCCGCGGUAAUACGUAGGGGGCAAGCGUUAUCCGGAUUUACUGGGUGUAAAGGGAGCGUAGACGGCUGAGCAAGUCAGAAGUGAAAGCCCGGGGCUCAACCCCGGGACUGCUUUUGAAACUGUCCGGCUCGAGUGCAGGAGAGGUAAGCGGAAUUCCUAGUGUAGCGGUGAAAUGCGUAGAUAUUAGGAGGAACACCAGUGGCGAAGGCGGCUUACUGGACUGUAACUGACGUUGAGGCUCGAAAGCGUGGGGAGCAAACAGGAUUAGAUACC
rnacentral:rRNA from 1 species